CCUGGCGUACGUAGCGCGGUGGUCCCACCUGACCCCAUGCCGAACUCAGAAGUGAAACGCCGUAGCGCCGAUGGUAGUGUGGGGUCUCCCCAUGCGAGAGUAGGGAACUGCCAGGC
rnacentral:rRNA from 1 species